CGAAAAUUUGAUCUGACAUUGGUGGUGAAGUAAAUAAUACUGCCGGAAUCAGUCACUCCUAAUAUCCUUGGCGAUUGACCACCACCUUCUAGUGUUACCAAUCUAAGAAGAUCCUCAAGGUUGAUGCAAUUACAAUCUGCCAACCCUGUCAUUGAGAAGAUGGCAGAUGAGGCUUCAAACGACCAACAGCCCAGUAAACAGGCUAAAACCAGUGAGAAGAAAUCUGAGGAAAAACAACGUUUUUCUUGUGUACGUUUUUUUAUCUAUUAAUUUUAAGAUUUUCACCCUUUAAGGAAUUGUGUGUGACCUAGUUAUUUACUACUGUCAUCAUUCGGGGGAAUCCGAAAAACAUUGGUCGAUUGGGUGUCUAUAUCAAACUUGACGUUGACAAAUUGUCUCCAGAGACUGCUCAUGUUGUUAACGGUUGUGCUACCUUGGCCAUUCAGGAUUAUGCUAUACAAAAAUUGCAAAACUGGUGCGACUGGUGCCUACUCAAAAUUGUUGAGGUGGCUAGGGUUAGAGUUUCUGGAUUCAGGUACUACAUUAGGUUUGAAGCCGAGAAUGCUCAUGGUGUGCACCAUACUUUUCAAGCAGACGUGUGGGAUAGUGUUGGACUUGGCAGAUGUACCAAUGGUUUCAGGACUCUAAAACCUCGCAGCAGCUAAUGGCACUCUGGCAAUUUAUGGAUUCCACUGACAAGGUACCCUGACAAUUUAUGGAUUCCGAUAUAGGUUAUGGAUGUCAUGCAAAUUUGGACAGUAGAUCACUGUAUUUAAAAAUAGAUCUUUUUGAUUGUGGUACUCUUAAAUGUUAAUCUCUCUCUGUUUGCUACUUGUGUGAUGUUUGACACCUAAAUAUGUAUCCUUCAUUAAAGGCUAUAGCAAGCAAGCAACCCCGAUACUUGUAAGUCAGAUACAUUAUUCUGCAAGGGCUGUUCGGUAGUGGAUUCGUGGUGAAGUCCAAUUGUGCUUUAUGUGACUGCUUGGUGGCUGGCUGGGUUACUUUUAGUUGCAUUAUUCCCAACUGUGAACUUAAAAUUUUGUUGGUUAAUCUUGCAUAAUGAGCAUGAUGACGAUUGUAAUCUCAAUUCUCAAGGGCAGUAUGCUAUGUCCUAUGGAGUCAACGAUUUUACAUUUUGUGACUAUUCGAGAUAAUGAAAUAAAUCAAAUGGCUCAUUUAACUAUCGACGCUUCUUAUCUAUU